UACGUAGGGGGCAAGCGUUGUCCGGAAUUAUUGGGCGUAAAGAGCGUGUAGGCGGUCCGGUAAGUCGGCUGUGAAAGUCCAGGGCUCAACCCUGGGAUGCCGGUCGAUACUGCCGGACUAGAGUUCGGAAGAGGCGAGUGGAAUUCCCGGUGUAGCGGUGAAAUGCGCAGAUAUCGGGAGGAACACCUAUGGCGAAGGCAGCUCGCUGGGACGUUACUGACGCUGAGGUGCGACAGCGUGGGGAGCAAACAGG
rnacentral:rRNA from 1 species